rnacentral:sRNA from 1 species
UCCACGUCGACGCUAGCGCGCGCCCGGGC